rnacentral:rRNA from 1 species
UACGGAGGGGGCUAGCGUUAUUCGGAAUUACUGGGCGUAAAGCGCACGUAGGCGGAUCGACAAGUUGGAGGUGAAAUCCCGGGGCUCAACCCCGGAACGGCCUUCAAAACUGUCGGUCUUGAGUUCGAGAGAGGUGAGUGGAAUUCCGAGUGUAGAGGUGAAAUUCGUAGAUAUUCGGAGGAACACCAGUGGCGAAGGCGGCUCACUGGCUCGAUACUGACGCUGAGGUGCGAAAGCGUGGGGAGCAAACAGG